rnacentral:lncRNA from 13 species
UAGGCAAAUCGGCUCCCCCUUGUGGAAUGUCUUCUGUGGCAGGUAUGGGCCUCUCAAAUGAACCACAUGGGUCUUGGUACUGAGCUGAUCAACACCGUCAACCAGGAGUAUUCUUGUGGUUGCUGGAGCUGAAACUCUGGGAAAGUCAUUUGGUUUCAUGCAUCUUACUUCACUCUAUUUCCUGCAUCUGAUCUGAUGUUCUGAAUUCCUGUCUCACUAACAGCAUGAAUAGAAAUUAAUUGAAUUAGCCUGUCUCUAAUUUUCAGUUGCACAAACCAACUUAGAAUUUAAUUCUGCAAAGUCUGCUUUCCUCACAGACCUCUCUUUUUACGGGUAAAAUCCCUAGAUAAACAAACCACCAGCAAAAGGACUUUUCCUUUGGCUAUCCAAAGAUAGAUAAGCUAAACUAAUUUUGUAUAAGAUUCCAUCAUCAUUUCUAAAAAAAAUUUUUUUAAAUCUCUUAAUUCUAUGAUCAUCUCUUGUAAUAUGUGUUUGCUGUAUUAUUUAAGAUUAUUCAAUUCUGCAGUGGAAAAGAAGAGAAGCAAAUAAGGAGAAGAGAUGAAACUACACAUAGAAGUAGCUUAUGCGACACCUUAGACAUAGAUAAGGGUUUCACCAUGUUUGCCGGGCUGGACUUGAACUCCUGACCUCGUGAUCUACCCGCCUCAGCCUCACAAAGUGCUGGGAUUACAGGUGUGAGCCACUGCACCCAGCCUGAACAUGUAGCUUUCUUUAGUCUGUAAUUAUGACAUAAUAAAUGGACUGAUUUUCAAAUAUUUAACCA